GCCAGUGUGGUGUAGUGGUUUGAGUGUUGGACUACGACUCUGGAGACCAGGGUUUGAUUCCCAGCUUGGCCA